rnacentral:lncRNA from 1 species
UGUGGAUUCGUGAUUACUCAAAUGGAUCUGCCUCCAGAGAUCAGUGUUUUUAUUCUGUCUCUGACAGCACCUUUUAUUCUCUACACAAUCAACCAUGUGUCCUUCUUACAAGAUCCACAGGUUAUACUGGCAAUAGGCAUCAUGGUUCUUACAACGAUAUUUCUUCUGGCAAACCUCAGUGUCAAGAGUAAACAAUCUACUGACCCUCUCUUCUAUGUGUUUGCUGUGUUUUCCUUCACCUCUGUUGUCAGCAUCACCAAUGCACUGCAGCACACCGGACUGAUCAAGGGCUUUAUGGACUUUUAUAUAAGCAAGGGAGAGCCGUACCUCAGCACGGCCCACGGCAUCAUGAUGAGUUACUGGGACGGAGUCGUCACUACGGUCUGCUCCUCAUCAUGGAAGCCGUUUCGCAGUUUGGCUCUCGUAUGGGCCGGAUCCAUGAUCGCCAGUCAGAUCGUCUUAAUCACAGGCGUUGUAGUAGGUAAAUAUGGGAAAAACCUCCUCCCUGCUUUCUGGAGAAACGCCCCUUCUCUGGUUUUAUCCGUAUGGGCGGCGGCAAAGCUUUUCAACAAGCCGAGAGAGCUGUCAAUCAUUCCUGCUGACAAGGUGGAGGUGGAGCAGAAGAAAACGCUGCUGUCUCGUCCCACAGACCUGCUGCUUACGCUGGGCCUCAUAGGAAGCAUCAUCUUCACUGCGUUCAGAGGCUUUGUUGUUCUUGAAUGUUCUCUGGACUUUUGCUUUACCUACAUCUUCCAGUACGAGCCCUACAUGAAAGAGAGCGUUGGCUUUCCAAAAGUCACAAUGCUGGUGUUCCUCUUCUAUGUUUUGCCGCUCUUGACGGCGUGUGUUUAUGGGCUUUACACUCCUGGAUGCACGUGGAUGUUGGACUGGACACUGGUCCUCGCAGGAGCUGUAGCUCAGAUGCAGUGGACUCACCUGGGCGCAUCUGUUCACUCGCGCACACCGUUCACCUACAGGAUCCCCAGAGACGAGUGGAGGCAGGUGGUCACGCUGAACCUGCUGUACACAGCUGUGCCCGUCCUCCUCGCCGUCCGCUGCUACAUGGACCAGACCUUCUUCAUGAAGAGCGUUCCUCAGGAGCAGGCCAGCAACGGCAAGAAGAAGAAUUAAAAACAUCAACAGCCAUGUGCAUGAACAUGCAUGUGUCCACUUUACAGCACAGUGAAGUGUUUCAGCUGAAACCAUAAGCCAUAAAUUAUUUGUAAAAGCAUCAAUAUACCAGUGACUAUAUCUGUAUCUGCCAAU